CCGUACACAAAAGCGCAUGUGCUGUGAGCUCGAUGAGUAGGGCGGGACACGUGGUAUCCUGUCUGAAUAUGGGGGGACCAUCCUCCAAGGCUAAAUACUCCUGACUGACCGAUAGUGAACCAGUACCGUGAGGGAAAGGCGAAAAGAACCCCGGCGAGGGGAGUGAAAAAGAACCUGAAACCGUGUACGUACAAGCAGUGGGAGCACAGGUUUACCUGUGUGACUGCGUACCUUUUGUAUAAUGGGUCAGCGACUUAUAUUCUGUAGCAAGGUUAACCGAAUAGGGGAGCCGGAGGGAAACCGAGUCUUAAUUGGGCGUUAAGUUGCAGGGUAUAGACCCGAAACCCGGUGAUCUAGCCAUGGGCAGGUUGAAGGUUGGGUAACACUAACUGGAGGACCGAACCGACUAAUGUUGAAAAAUUAGCGGAUGACCUGUGGCUGGGGGUGAAAGGCCAAUCAAACCGGGAGAUAGCUGGUUCUCCCCGAAAGCUAUUUAGGUAGCGCCUCGUGAAUUCAUCUCCGGGGGUAGAGCACUGUUUCGGCUAGGGGGCCAUCCCGGCUUACCAACCCGAUGCAAACUGCGAAUACCGGAGAAUGUUAUCACGGGAGACACACGGCGGGUGCUAACGUCCGUCGUGAAGAGGGAAACAACCCAGACCGCCAGCUAAGGUCCCAAAGUCAUGGUUAAGUGGGAAACGAUGUGGGAAGGCCCAGACAGCCAGGAUGUUGGCUUAGAAGCAGCCAUCAUUUAAAGAAAGCGUAAUAGCUCACUGGUCGAGUCGGCCUGCGCGGAAGAUGUAACGGGGCUAAACCAUGCACCGAAGCUGCGGCAGCGAACGUAUCACCCAAGACAACUUUACGGAGUUGACGAUUGACGGAGCGAAGCGACGUCAAAGCGUUCAUUAAAGUCGAGUUGGCUUAGGGAUACGUUCGUUGGGUAGGGGAGCGUUCUGUAAGCCUGUGAAGGUGUGUCGUGAGGCAUGCUGGAGGUAUCAGAAGUGCGAAUGCUGACAUAAGUAACGAUAAAGCGGGUGAAAAGCCCGCUCGCCGGAAGACCAAGGGUUCCUGUCCAACGUUAAUCGGGGCAGGGUGAGUCGACCCCUAAGGCGAGGCCGAAAGGCGUAGUCGAUGGGAAACGGGUUAAUAUUCCCGUACUUGGUGUUACUGCGAAGGGGGGACGGAGAAGGCUAUGUUGGCCGGGCGACGGUUGUCCCGGUUUAAGCGUGUAGGUGUGUGUUCCAGGUAAAUCCGGUUCACUUUAACACUGAGGCGUGACGACGAGGCACUACGGUGCUGAAGCAACAAAUGCCCUGCUUCCAGGAAAAGCCUCUAAGCAU
rnacentral:rRNA from 1 species